rnacentral:lncRNA from 1 species
CACCUACUAUGGAAAAAAAUAACCUUCCCUGAUGUACUUCCACCAGUGAAGAGGAAGUUGCUUGGGAGGCCAUAGAAAAAAGGGAGUUUAGAGGCAUGGAAGCUAACUAAGGGUGACACUCAAAUGUUUGUUGGUGGACAUAGAAAAAAAUGUAACAUUUGUCGUUAGAGGGGGCACAACAAGAAUAAUUGCCAUUUACGUCCCUAGCCAGCAAAAACAACAGAGCCAAUGGACGAAACACAACCAUCACAAGCACCUUCAAGUUCCUAAACCCCUCUACCAUCACAGCCACCAAGUACCCAAUCAACC